rnacentral:rRNA from 1 species
AGCCCGGGGCUCAACCUCGGAAUUGCAUUUGAAACUGGCAGACUAGAGUACUGUAGAGGGGGGUAGAAUUUCAGGUGUAGCGGUGAAAUGCGUAGAGAUCUGAAGGAAUACCGGUGGCGAAGGCGGCCCCCUGGACAGAUACUGACACUCAGAUGCGAAAGCGUGGGGAGCAAACAGGAUUAGAUACCCUGGUAGUCCACGCCGUAAACGAUGUCUACUUGGAGGUUGUGGCCUUGAGCCGUGGCUUUCGGAGCUAACGCGUUAAGUAGACCGCCUGGGGAGUACGGUCGCAAGAUUAAAACUCAAAUGAAUUGACGGGGGCCCGCACAAGCGGUGGAGCAUGUGGUUUAAUUCGAUGCAACGCGAAGAACCUUACCUACUCUUGACAUCCAGAGAA